rnacentral:rRNA from 1 species
UAGUCUACGCAGUAAACGAUGGUUACUAGCUGUUCGGUCUAAUUGAGGGCUGAGUGGCUAAGCGAAAGUGAUAAGUAACCCACCUGGGGAGUACGUUCGCAAGAAUGAAACUCAAAGGAAUUGACGGGGGCCCGCACAAGCGGUGGAGCAUGUGGUUUAAUUCGAUGAUACGCGAGGAACCUUACCAGGGCUUAAAUGCAGUUUGACAGAGGUAGAAAUACCUUUUUCUUCGGACAAAUUGCAAGGUGCUGCAUGGUUGUCGUCAGCUCGUGCCGUGAGGUGUCAGGUUAAGUCCUAUAACGAGCGCAACCCCUAUGGUUAGUUGCUAGCAGGUCAUGCUGAGAACUCUAACCAGACUGCCGAUGUAAACCGCGAGGAAGGUGGGGAUGACGUCAAAUCAUCACGGCCCUUACGUCCUGGGCUACACACGUGCUACAAUGGUAUGUACAAUGAGCAGCCACUACGCGAGUAGGCGCAAAUCUCAAAAGCAUAUCAC